CAAAAUACUGGUUUUAUACCUGUGUUGGUUAUACUCGGGUACAUAUUUUGGUCCUCACUGUUUCUUAUUUCUGCCAUUGUUAUGAACAUCCUGAGUGCCUGCUUUUCUGCAAUUGGAGCACUUAUAUUACUGAUUGCAUGUUUCACUUAUAGCUCAGAAAAGAAUGAAUAUGUUUGGUCACAUCAUUAUACCAUCCAGAAACCAGUGAAGAGAGUUACUCAUCUUCGGAACCCCCUGUCUCUUCGUAAUUUGCAAAGAACCAGUGUGACUCCAGUCAAGAAAAGAUUAAUUGUGAAUUAGUGAAGAACUCCAUAAUUUUUUUUCAAGAGGUCUCACGGAAAAUGC
ensembl:lncRNA